GUGCAAAGGUAGCAUAAUCAUUUGCUUUUUAAUUGAAGGCUAGUAUGAAAGGACACACAAGGAUAAAACUGUCUCUCUUAAAUUAAAUAUAAACUGAUAAUUAGGUGAAGAAGCCUAAAUUAUAAUAAAGGACAAAAAGACCCUAUAGAGCUUUACUGGCUAGAGUAUUGUACUCAAUAUCAGGUUGGUUGGGACAACCAAAAGACAUUAUCACCUCUUUUUAAAAUUAUAAAAUACUUACCCAAUAAUGUAUAAAAAAUAGCUACCUUAGGGAUAACAGGCUAAUCCCACUAGAGAGAUCACAUUGACAGUGGGGGUUGGCACCUCGAUGUUGGCUUAGUGUAACUAUUAGGCGCAGUCGCCUAAUAAGUUGGUUUGUUCAACCAUUAAAUCACUACGUGAUC
rnacentral:rRNA from 1 species